GUAAGGACCGCCCUGGGCCUGGAAGAAGCCCUCCCUCCUUUCCUCCUCGCGUGAUCUCGUCAUCGCCUCCAUGUCGAGUCGCUUCUCGAUUAUGGGCGGGAUUCUUUUGCCUAGGCUUAAGGGGCUAACUUGGUCCCUGGGCGUUGCCCUGCAGGGGAGUGAGCAGCUGUAAGAUUUGAGGGGCGACUCCGAUUAGUUUAUCUUCCCACGGACUAGAGUUGGUGUCGAGGUUAUUGUAAUAAGGGUGGGGUAGGGAAAUGGAGCUUAGUCAUUCACCUGGGGCUGAUUUUAUGCAACGAGACUGCGGAUUAUCACUACUUAUCAUUUUUGGAGCAUUUUUCUAGAGACAGACAUAAAGCAUGAUCACCUGAGUUUUAUACCAUUUGAGACCCUUGCUGCACCACCAAAGUGUAGCAUCAGGUUAAAUCUUAAUAGAAAAAUUUUAGCUUUUGCUUGAGAAACCAGUGCUUCCCUCCCUCACCCUCUCUCCCCAGGCUCUCUACCCCUUUGCAUCCCUACCAGGCAUCUUAGCAACUCUCACUCAUACUUGAUCCCAUUUUCCAUUUGUUGUACUUGCUCCUCUAGUAUUCAGACAUAGCACUAGCUUUCUCCCUCUCUUGAUCUUGGGUAGCCUGGUGUCUCGCGAAACCAGACAGAUUGGUUCCACCACAAAUUAAGGCUUGAGCUGGGGCUUGACUCUUACCCAGCAGUGCUUUUAUUCCUCCCUAGUUCACGUUCUUAAAUGUUUAUCUUGAUUUUCAUUUUAUCCUUUUUCCUUAGCUGGGAUUCUGUCCCUGACCGUCUUCACAGUCCAGGUGAUCUUGACUACUGCUUUACAGAGAAUUGGAUCUGAGGUGUGGAAACAGGAAGAGAACUAGAACUGGAAGUAAAGCAUUGAAGAUGUGACUGAAUUGCUGCAAUCUCAUGAUCAAAUUUGAAUGGAUGAGGAGUUGCUUUUUAGGGAUGAGCAAAGAAAGUGGUUUCUCGAGAUGGAAUCUACUGGUUGCUCCUUGAGGGCAGGACAGUUCUUAUGGCUUUAUCCGUUGCGUAAGCACAGAGAGGUCUGCGAGGUCAAAACUAUUGUCAUGAUAGCAAGAUGCCUGUCUUUUUCAUUUAUUCUCACGGUGUGCAGAGGCUACAUGAUGUGUGAUGACAUCCUCAUUGAUGUUAAUGAAUGGUGCUAUACUUGAAUUUUCUAAGGUGUCAUUAGCAAUUCUCCUGCCUCAGCCUCCUGCAUAACUGGGACUACAGGGAAGCACCAUUUUCCACAAAACUCUCAAGAAGGACUUGUUGCAACUGGAAAAGCAAUUAAAUGUGAAUCGUGAUCCAGGAGAAAGUAACAACUCACAUAACUCCCAAAUUAAAAGUUUUCCAAAGAUAUAUCAUUUUUUUUCUCUUGGCCUUUUAAGAAACUAGCCAACAAAUACUCUUGACAGGUUUGUGUUUGGUUUUGAAAACACACACCUUAGUGUACUGAAAGAAAAACAAUUUCUUUUAAUUUGGUUUGUUGGUCCCACACCCCAUCUAUCAAUGUAUGUGCUAUUUACAAAUAAGUUCUAUACAGUAUUUUUGCAGUACCUUUGAUAAUUCCUAGACCUCUAUUUUCAUUCUGUGUAUUAAUGUGAAUAACAGAUGGAUAUUUUAAUAUUUAAGGCAGAUGGUAAACUUUCCUAUAGGUCUUGUGAGACUUCGUCUUAUAGGCUGAACACCAUUCACAAAAUGUAAUAAUGCUUCAUUCCUUCAGGUUGAGGUAAAGAACUUGAGCAACUGGAUUAGCAAAGCUGCAAAGAAUGAAAUGUGGCCUAAGAUGUAAUUAUGUUCUCUGCCCUUCCUUUGGGCCAGGGUAGUUUUGCACUUGACACAAUGGAAAAUAGGCCAUAAAGCCUGAAAAUAAAAUGUUCUAAACCCCAA
rnacentral:lncRNA from 1 species